GAUGAACGCUAGCGACAGGCUUAACACAUGCAAGUCGAGGGGUAACAGGGUAGCAAUACCGCUGACGACCGGCGCACGGGUGAGUAACGCGUAUGCAACCUGCCUAUAACUGGGGAAUAGCUCCCUGAAAGGGGAAUUAACACCGCAUAACACUAUUGAUUCGCAUGGAUUGGUAGUUAAAUGUAGCGAUACAGGUUAUAGAUGGGCAUGCGUGACAUUAGCUAGUUGGUGAGGUAACGGCUCACCAAGGCUACGAUGUCUAGGGGUUCUGAGAGGAAGGUCCCCCACACUGGUACUGAGACACGGACCAGACUCCUACGGGAGGCAGCAGUGAGGAAUAUUGGUCAAUGGGCGCAAGCCUGAACCAGCCAUGUCGCGUGCAGGAAGACUGCCCUAUGGGUUGUAAACUGCUUUUAUAGUAGAAGAAACACAUUUACGUGUAGAUGUCUGCCAGUAUACUAUGAAUAAGCAUCGGCUAA
rnacentral:rRNA from 1 species